rnacentral:misc_RNA from 1 species
CGAUGCAGACGUGUAUACACACUCACACUCGCACUCCAGUGAGUCGCCCUGUGCUUCUUGUUUUUCUGUUCACAUUGCAUAUCUUCCGUGCCAGGUAUCACAUCUUUUCGCUUGAAAGUGUGCGUGCGGGCGUAGAAGGAGAUGCCUGUGGAGGUUGCAACGCGUAUUUACACAUGUGUAUCCACGUGCACUCACGCUGCGCACAACGCGCACGAAGCGUUUACCAAGCGCGUUUCGCAGGGUUAGUGGGGGCGGGGCUGGCGAAUUGAAGGUGGCGCCACCGGUGACAAAAGGAACAGCAGCAAACUUGUCAUCCCCGUUGCUCGCUCGUUCUCGUCGUUUUUCCCCUGUUUUCAUGCUGCAUCGUGCUGUGUGUGCGCAAGCGAGUGUGGUUCAGGCUGUUUGUAUACAUGUGUGCUUCUUUUCUGCCACAUUUUAUGAAUAAUGGAUGAGAGCCUCAGGGGUACUCCUUCCUCCUUUUCGGUGUGUGUGCAUGUGAGAAGAUACUUGUCUAGGUCCUCUUCUUCUUCCUCUUUUCUCUGUUUUUUAUUUUCUUGCGCUGGUCCCCCUUGAAGGGUGCUUCUACGAAUGCCAGGAAAACCGAGCGCAUGGAUCAAGUGACAGCUGCAUCUGCCGCAUCUUGUAUAGUUUCUCUCUCGCACGCGGGGUCUUUCGUAGCAAACCGAACGCAACAAAGAGCCUCUCCUUCUUACGAGAAAGGAAGAGAUGCAGGGAAGCAGAAUUGGGACAGACCGUAAAGUUUGCAGGUAAAACCGAACGAAGUGUAGCAGCCAUGCACACGAACAUCAAACACUUUUGAAGACAAAGGUAACGGCAAACCAAGGCCUUUCUUCUCUCUUCCCUUUUGUGCUCCUCUCUCACUUUCCAUUCUCGACGACUAUAAACAUGCUGCUGUUUUUCUCCGGUGCUCCCUUCCUCUUUUUUUUUUCACUGCGUGCGUGUAUUUCACCUUUUUGUUUCUCUACAUCAUCACGGGCCACUUUUCACCUUGUUCUCUCUUCUCUGUGCGCCUCCUCAUGCCCCUCUCUCUCCAGCCAGGGCACUAUCAUGUAUCUGCCCAGUGAACCUUUGUAAAUGCAGCGCCCUCAUGAUCACCGAUAUUAUAUGCCCCACAUGGAACUCUGGAAGUGGCAACGAAAAGAAAUAUAUGUGACGUACACGUAACUGGCUUCGAGGAUGUGAGCAUGGCCCCUUUUC